rnacentral:tRNA from 1 species
CGGGGCGUAGCGCAGCCCGGUUAGCGCGUUAGACUGGGGGUCUAAAGGUCGCCAGUUCAAAUCUGGCCGCCCCGACCA